rnacentral:siRNA from 1 species
UUGAGGGCAGGAACAUUGACUU